rnacentral:misc_RNA from 1 species
GAUGAAGAACGCAGUGAAAUGCGAUACGUAAUGUGAAUUGCAGAAUUCAGUGAAUCAUCGAGUCUUUGAACGCACAUUGCGCCCCCUGGUAUUCCGGAGGGCAUGCCUGUCCGAGCGUCAUUGCUGCCCUCAAGCACGGCUUGUGUGUUGGGCCUCCGUCCUCCUCCCGGGGGACGGGCCCGAAAGGCAGCGGCGGCACCGCGUCCGGUCCUCGAGCGUAUGGGGCUUCGUCACCCGCUCUUGUAGGCCCGGCCGGCGCUUGCCGACACAUCAAUCUUUUUUCCAGGUUGACCUCGGAUCAGGUAGGGAUACCCGCUGAACUUAAGCAUAUCAAUAAGCGGAGGA